rnacentral:rRNA from 1 species
CGGUCGAGGCAGGCGGAAUUCGUGGUGUAGCGGUGAAAUGCUUAGAUAUCACGAAGAACCCCGAUUGCGAAGGCAGCUUGCCAGGCCUGGACUGACGUUGAGGCUCGAAGGUGCGGGUAUCGAACAGGAUUAGAUACCCUGGUAGUCCGCACGGUAAACGAUGGAUACUCGCUGUCGGCGAUACACGGUCGGCGGCCAAGCGAAAGCGUUAAGUAUCCCACCUGGGGAGUACGCCGGCAACGGUGAAACUCAAAGGAAUUGACGGGGGCCCGCACAAGCGGAGGAACAUGUGGUUUAAUUCGAUGAUACGCGAGGAACCUUACCCGGGCUUGAACUGUGCCUGACAGCCUCAGAGAUGGGGCUUCCAGCAAUGGCAGGCAUGGAGGUGCUGCAUGGUUGUCGUCAGCUCGUGCCGUGAGGUGUCGGCUUAAGUGCCAUAACGAGCGCAACCCCUCCCGCCAGUUGCCAUCAGGUAAAGCUGGGCACUCUGGGGGCACUGCCACCGCAAGGUGUGAGGAAGGUGGGGAUGACGUCAAAUCAGCACGGCCCUUACGUCCGGGGCUACACACGUGUUACAAUGGGAGGUCACAGAGGGCUGCUACCCGGCGACGGGACGCCAAUCCCCAAACCCUCCCUCAGUACGGACUGGAGUCUGCAACCCGACUCCACGAAGCUGGAUUCGCUAGUAAUCGCGCAUCAGCCACGGCGCGGUGAAUACGUUCCCGGGCCUUGUACACACCGCCCGUCAAGCCAUGAAAGCCGGCNNUGCCUGAAGUGCGUAACCGCAAGGGGCGCCCUAGGGUAAAGCCGGUGAUUGGGGCUAAGUCGUAACAAGGUAACCA